rnacentral:rRNA from 1 species
UGGGGAAUUUUGCACAAUGGGCGCAAGCCUGAUGCAGCGACGCCGCGUGAGGGAUGAAGGCCUUCGGGUUGUAAACCUUUUUCGCUCAUGGUCAAGCCGCAGCUUUGGGUUGUGGUGAGGGUAGUGGGUAAAGAAGCGCCGGCUAACUACGUGCCAGCAGCCGCGGUAAUACGUAGGGCGCGAGCGUUGUCCGGAAUCAUUGGGCGUAAAGGGUACGUAGGCGGGUAAGCAAGUUAGAAGUGAAAUCCUGUAGCUCAACUACAGUAAGCUUUUAAAACUGCUCAUCUUGAGAUAUGGAAGGGAAAGUGGAAUUCCUAGUGUAGCGGUGAAAUGCGCAGAUAUUAGGAGGAAUACCGGUGGCGAAGGCGACUUUCUGGCCAUAAUCUGACGCUGAGGUACGAAAGCGUGGGUAGCAAACAGG